rnacentral:rRNA from 1 species
UGGCGGCAGGCCUAACACAUGCAAGUCGAACGGUAACAGGAAGCAGCUUGCUGCUUUGCUGACGAGUGGCGGACGGGUGAGUAAUGUCUGGGAAACUGCCUGAUGGAGGGGGAUAACUACUGGAAACGGUAGCUAAUACCGCAUAAUGUCGCAAGACCAAAGAGGGGGACCUUCGGGCCUCUUGCCAUCGGAUGUGCCCAGAUGGGAUUAGCUUGUAGGUGGGGUAACGGCUCACCUAGGCGACGAUCCCUAGCUGGUCUGAGAGGAUGACCAGCCACACUGGAACUGAGACACGGUCCAGACUCCUACGGGAGGCAGCAGUGGGGAAUAUUGCACAAUGGGCGCAAGCCUGAUGCAGCCAUGCCGCGUGUAUGAAGAAGGCCUUCGGGUUGUAAAGUACUUUCAGCGGGGAGGAAGGGAGUAAAGUUAAUACCUUUGCUCAUUGACGUUACCCGCAGAAGAAGCACCGGCUAACUCCGUGCCAGCAGCCGCGGUAAUACGGAGGGUGCAAGCGUUAAUCGGAAUUACUGGGCGUAAAGCGCACGCAGGCGGUUUGUUAAGUCAGAUGUGAAAUCCCCGGGCUCAACCUGGGAACUGCAUCUGAUACUGGCAAGCUUGAGUCUCGUAGAGGGGGGUAGAAUUCCAGGUGUAGCGGUGAAAUGCGUAGAGAUCUGGAGGAAUACCGGUGGCGAAGGCGGCCCCCUGGACGAAGACUGACGCUCAGGUGCGAAAGCGUGGGGAGCAAACAGGAUUAGAUACCCUGGUAGUCCACGCCGUAAACGAUGUCGACUUGGAGGUUGUGCCCUUGAGGCGUGGCUUCCGGAGCUAACGCGUUAAGUCGACCGCCUGGGGAGUACGGCCGCAAGGUUAAAACUCAAAUGAAUUGACGGGGGCCCGCACAAGCGGUGGAGCAUGUGGUUUAAUUCGAUGCAACGCGAAGAACCUUACCUGGUCUUGACAUCCACGGAAGUUUUCAGAGAUGAGAAUGUGCCUUCGGGAACCGUGAGACAGGUGCUGCAUGGCUGUCGUCAGCUCGUGUUGUGAAAUGUUGGGUUAA